AAUAGAUACCCGGGUAGUCCACGCUGUAAACGUUGGGCGCUAGGUGUGGGGGGCCUCUCCGGUUCUCUGUGCCGCAGCUAACGCAUUAAGCGCCCCGCCUGGGGAGUACGGCCGCAAGGCUAAAACUCAAAGGAAUUGACGGGGGCCCGCACAAGCGGCGGAGCAUGCGGAUUAAUUCGAUGCAACGCGAAGAACCUUACCUGGGUUUGACAUCACCGCAAAACUUCCAGAGAUGGGAGGUCCUUCGGGGGCGGUGACAGGUGGUGCGAUGGCUGCCGUCAGCUCGUGUCGUGAGAUGUUGGGUUAAGUCCCGCAACGAGCGCAACCCUCGUUCGAUGUUGCCAGCGGGUUAUGCCGGGGACUCAUCGAAGACUGCCGGGGUCAACUCGGAGGAAGGUGGGGAUGACGUCAAGUCAUCAUGCCCCUUAUGUCCAGGGCUUCACGCAUGCUACAAUGGCCGGUACAAUGGGCUGCGAUACCGUGAGGUGGAGCGAAUCCCGAAAAAGCCGGUCUCAGUUCGGAUCGGGGUCUGCAACUCGACCCCGU
rnacentral:rRNA from 1 species